rnacentral:rRNA from 1 species
GACGAACGCUGGCGGCGUGCUUAACACAUGCAAGUCGAACGGAAAGGCCCUGCUUUUGUGGGGUGCUCGAGUGGCGAACGGGUGAGUAACACGUGAGUAACCUGCCCUUGACUUUGGGAUAACUUCAGGAAACUGGGGCUAAUACCGGAUAGGAGCUCCUGCUGCAUGGUGGGGGUUGGAAAGUUUCGGCGGUUGGGGAUGGACUCGCGGCUUAUCAGCUUGUUGGUGGGGUAGUGGCUUACCAAGUCUUUGACGGGUAGCCGGCCUGAGAGGGUGGCCGGCCACAUUGGGACUGAGAUACGGCCCAGCCUCCUACGGGAGGCAACGGUGGAGAGUAUUGCACAAUGGGCGGAAGCCUGAUGCGACAACGCCGCGUUCGGGAUGACGUCCUUCGGGUAGUGAACCGCUUUCGCCUGUGACGAAGCGUUAGUGACGGUAAUGGGUAAAGAAGCACCGGCUAACUACGUG